rnacentral:siRNA from 1 species
CUAUAAUUGUACAUCGUUGGAGAU